GACAGGAAACUGACGACGUGUUUGUGAAUGCAGGGAAGAGGAAUUCUCGAAAUUUAGUUUUGCCUUGGCAAAGUGUGGGCUUUGAGAGCGAGUCCUACAGUUUCAGUUUUUGAAGGUUUCGGAUAUCCACACAAUCUAUUGGGAGCAGUCUGGAAAUCCAGACGGCCAUGAACUUCUUUGGAGCUUCCAUGACAUAUUACCGAAUGCCGAUCUUUGUUAUGACCUUCAUUUUAAGAAAUGCCAAUUUGGAAUGAAGAGGUUUAAGGAGACACAGAGAUGUGUUUGAACGGAUGUCAGGAGGCUAUACUAACAUGCACACGGUAGUGCAGAUGAUACGGUGAAUGGUCGAGUACAGGCAGUGAAGUUAAAUGUGAUAUGGUGUAUGUGUGAGCGAGACAUUGUGAGGAAUGACAAAAACGUGGGAAGCAGAAAAAGAUGAGCAAAGAAAUUAGAACGUGAAGAAGGAAAAAUUGUUAUAUGCAGUUGUCAGUAGUCUCCCAGGUUUCAAACUGUAUCUGAAGCAUAUAUUAAACCGACAAAGUGAAUUGUCAGAUAAUUUAGAACGCAGGAACAAAGAAGGAAGGAAAACAGGAAAGCCUUCAUGUUAGUUUUCUUUUACAGGAAGACCCAUUUCACUCGCCGUGAUCAACAAUUGCAGCUUCUUGAAGUAGCCUUUCACUCACCAUAAACGACAAGUGCGGCUUCUUUAGCAUUGGCAUUGGUUGCAGACCCAUUUGUUGAGGCUCGAAGAAAAAGGAAUGGGGGAAAGUGUAUUCUUGCCAUAGAUUUUCUAUUGGGAGUGAGCAUUGAAGAAAAGGGAAGGUGAUAACAGCGGAAGAGGUGGCUUUUUGCUUUUGGCCUUUUGUUUUCUUCAUUUUGCUUAAUGUUGAGACUUGAGAAAAGAACUUCUAAUGUUGAACCCCAAUUCGAGAAAAUAAUGUGAAGAAAACAAAUUUUCGUAAUUGUUAUUAUGUCCAACAUCAAACCAAUUAUGAACAA